AUUGAACGCUGGCGGCAGGCUUAACACAUGCAAGUCGAGCGAGCGGCGGACGGGUGAGUAAUGUCUGGGAAACUGACUGAUGGAGGGGGAUAACUACUGGAAACGGUAGCAAAUACCGCAUACCAUCAGAUGUGCCCAGAUGGGAUUGGCUAGUAAGUGGGGUAAUGGCUAACCUAGGCUACGAUCCCUAGCUGGUCUGAGAGGAUGACCGGCACCACUGGACCUGAGACACGGUCCAGACUCCGACUGGAGGCAGCAGUGGGGAAUAUUGCACAGUGGGCGCAAGCCGGAUGCAGCCAUGCCGCGUGUGUGAAGAAGGCCUUCGGGUUGUAAAGCACUUUCCGCGAGGAGGCGUUACUCGCAGAAGAAGCACCGGCUAACUCCGUGCCAGCAGCCGCGGUAAUUC
rnacentral:rRNA from 1 species